rnacentral:tRNA from 1 species
UCCCUGGUAGCCUAGCAGUUAAGGAUCCAGCAUUGUUACUGCAGUGGUUCAGGUUUGAUCCCUGGCCUGGGAA